GUGCAGGGCCGCUUGCUUGGAUGCUCUGAGUGCAAAGGCUCUCUGUCAAAGCCAUUUUCUUUGGUUCUGUCUGGAGUUCGCCUCUUCCCGUUUUCGUUCACAUCGAGAAGCAGCUCUGAGGAGUCAACAGGUGAGGUGGUGCUGGCAUCCAGAAGCAGCUGUUCGUGCUGGGCGAGGUACUGGGCUGGGUUCUGCUUGGCUAGCCUUGCACAGUGCAGCAGCUCCCGCUGCAGCAGGGGCAGAUUGGCCUUUAAAAAUGGGAUGACAAAAGGUCGCAGUGGGAAGUUAGUAGCUUCUUGCAGUUUGGAAUGAAAUUCUUCAAUUGUCAAAGUAGAAUUCACAAGUCCUAGCACAAGGGUACGCACUCUCUCCCC
rnacentral:lncRNA from 1 species